rnacentral:rRNA from 1 species
GUUGUUUAGUUGAAAAUUAAUUAAAUAAUUUUUGAUUUUGAGUAGUAUUGACUUCAUCAGCUUGCUGCUCUCUUUUCGGAAAUUAUUUAAUGCACUUUUCAGUUAACAAGUCAACAUCAAUUUCUUUUGUUGUAAAAGGGUAAGAGGAAGGUGGCUUACAUUUCGGUGUAAGUGUUUAUAGCCUUUUACCUCUGCAAUCGGAGAGAUUGAGGUCAGCAGCGUAGACUCUUCGGGGUUAGAUACGCUUGUGCUAAGCUAUAGCCUUGUAUAGACAACUUGUUGACUAUGCUCAGUCAUGUAGCUUACUCGCUUGCAGUAUUUUACCUAC